rnacentral:rRNA from 1 species
GACGAACGCUGGCGGCGUGCCUAAUACAUGCAAGUCGAACGCAGUGGGGACGGGUGAGUAACACCUGUGUAACCUCCCAUCUGCCGGGAUAACACUUGGAAACAGGUGCUAAACCGAUACUGAUGGAUGGACCCGCGGUGCUUUAGCUAGUUGGUGGGGUAACGGCUCACCAAGGCCACGAUGCAUAGCCGACCGGAGAGGGUGAACGGCAACAAUGGGACGGAGACACGGACCAGACUCCGAAGGGAGGAAGCAGUAGGGAAUAGGGGGCAAUGGACGAAAGUCUGACGGAGAAACGCCGCGUGAGUGAAGAAGGUGGUCGGAUCGUAAAAAUCUGUUGUUAGAGAAGCGGUAUCUAAACAGAAAGCAACGGCUAACGACGUGCCAGCAGCCGCGGUAAUUC